AGCGAAAGCUAGUUGUAUUAACUAUUAGUUAAUACAAAAUCGACUAUGUCGACUAAAGUUCUAGGUAGAAUAAUGAUGAUGACAAUUUUCUACCUAUAUGUCUUGACCAAAUCUCGUGCCAGCAGUCGCGGUAAUACGUGAAAGACUAGUGUUAUUCAUCUUUAAUAGGUUUAAAGGGUACCUAGACGGUUUAUCUAGCCCAAAACAGGGUACGGAUUUUCUAGAGUUUUAUGUGAGGAGGGGAGUACUCAUAGAGUAAAGAUGAAAUUUUGUGAUACUAUGGGGAAACUGGUGGCGGCGAAAGCAACCUUCUAUGUAUAAACUGACGUUGAGGGACGAAGGCUUGGGUAGCAAAUAGGAUUAGAUACCCUAGUAGUCCAAGCAGACAAUUCUGAAUGCCAUAGAUUAGAUUUUUUGUGCUAUAAAUGAGAGUGUGAACAUUCCCCCUCAUGAGAAUAGUGGGGCCACACGAGCUGAGAUCUUUAGAGAGCGUCUGAGACCCGAAGAGAGAAAUGUGAUAUAAAAUGAGAGACCUCACAAAAACUUAUACCACCUUGUAUGUUAUUUUAUUAUUACACACGUUGCGCAGCUGUGUCCUCAGUUAGUGUCGAGAUAUUGUGUAACUCUCCUACUUAUCGCAUACACCUAC
rnacentral:rRNA from 1 species